rnacentral:rRNA from 1 species
UACGUAGGGUGCGAGCGUUAAUCGGAAUUACUGGGCGUAAAGCGUGCGCAGGCGGUGAGCUGUGUCCGAUGUGAAAGCCCCGGGCUUAACCUGGGAAUGGCAUUGGAAACUGGCUCGCUGGAGUGUGGCAGAAGGGGGUGGAAUUCCGCGUGUAGCAGUGAAAUGCGUAGAGAUGCGGAGGAACACCGAUGGCGAAGGCAGCCCCCUGGGCUAACACUGACGCUCAGGCACGAAAGCGUGGGGAGCAAACAGG